rnacentral:rRNA from 1 species
AACGAACGCUGGCGGCAUGCCUAACACAUGCAAGUCGAACGAGACCUUCGGGUCUAGUGGCGCACGGGUGCGUAACGCGUGGGAAUCUGCCCUUGGGUUCGGAAUAACAGUUAGAAAUGACUGCUAAUACCGGAUAAUGUCUUCGGACCAAAGAUUUAUCGCCCAGGGAUGAGCCCGCGUAGGAUUAGCUAGUUGGUGAGGUAAAGGCUCACCAAGGCGACGAUCCUUAGCUGGUCUGAGAGGAUGAUCAGCCACACUGGGACUGAGACACGGCCCAGACUCCUACGGGAGGCAGCAGUGGGGAAUAUUGGACAAUGGGCGAAAGCCUGAUCCAGCAAUGCCGCGUGAGUGAUGAAGGCCUUAGGGUUGUAAAGCUCUUUACCCGGGAUGAUAAUGACAGUACCGGGAGAAUAAGACCCCGGCUAACUCCGUGCCAGCAGCCGCGGUAAU